CGUUCUCUAUAAACAUCUUUUGGUAGCUUUGCUCGUUAACACUAUUAACUACUAACUUGACUACUCAUCGUAGCCGUUCAGAUUAGUGUAUUCAUCAUCAACGUAAUAAUUGUAUUCGAUUUAGUUCUUCUUUUAUGAGUCGUUUAGUUUUGUCACUGUAUUUUGAAAGUAUGUAAAGGAAGUCGGCUGAUUGUACUCAUGAAUAUGUUCUGACCACUAGAGGGCAGUAAACUCUCCACUGAUCCGUUUCUUACACUACCGUUAACAUAACUUCCACCCUAAGAGAAAUUGCCACUAACAUUGGAUGUACUGUAAUAGAAGUUGAGAAAGGAGGCCAGAGGACAGGAGCAGCUGCAGAGAGGCUCUGCUGGAGCCUGUGAGGAACCACUGUCUUGCUGAGGCAGGGCGGCUCUGGAUAUCUCCACCAGGAACCCUCAGGAUGACUUUGAGA